rnacentral:rRNA from 1 species
GAGUUUGAUCCUGGCUCAGGACGAACGCUGGCGGCGUGCCUAAUACAUGCAAGUAGAACGCUGAAGAGAGGAGCUUGCUCUUCUUGGAUGAGUUGCGAACGGGUGAGUAACGCGUAGGUAACCUGCCUUGUAGCGGGGGAUAACUAUUGGAAACGAUAGCUAAUACCGCAUAACAAUAGGUGACACAUGUCAUUUAUUUGAAAGGGGCAAUUGCUCCACUACAAGAUGGACCUGCGUUGUAUUAGCUAGUAGGUGAGGUAACGGCUCACCUAGGCGACGAUACAUAGCCGACCUGAGAGGGUGAUCGGCCACACUGGGACUGAGACACGGCCCAGACUCCUACGGGAGGCAGCAGUAGGGAAUCUUCGGCAAUGGGGGCAACCCUGACCGAGCAACGCCGCGUGAGUGAAGAAGGUUUUCGGAUCGUAAAGCUCUGUUGUAAGUCAAGAACGAGUGUGAGAGUGGAAAGUUCACACUGUGACGGUAGCUUACCAGAAAGGGACGGCUAACUACGUGCCAGCAGCCGCGGUAAUACGUAGGUCCCGAGCGUUGUCCGGAUUUAUUGGGCGUAAAGCGAGCGCAGGCGGUUUGAUAAGUCUGAAGUUAAAGGCUGUGGCUCAACCAUAGUUCGCUUUGGAAACUGUCAAACUUGAGUGCAGAAGGGGAGAGUGGAAUUCCAUGUGUAGCGGUGAAAUGCGUAGAUAUAUGGAGGAACACCGGUGGCGAAAGCGGCUCUCUGGUCUGUAACUGACGCUGAGGCUCGAAAGCGUGGGGAGCGAACAGGAUUAGAUACCCUGGUAGUCCACGCCGUAAACGAUGAGUGCUAGGUGUUGGAUCCUUUCCGGGAUUCAGUGCCGCAGCUAACGCAUUAAGCACUCCGCCUGGGGAGUACGACCGCAAGGUUGAAACUCAAAGGAAUUGACGGGGGCCCGCACAAGCGGUGGAGCAUGUGGUUUAAUUCGAAGCAACGCGAAGAACCUUACCAGGUCUUGACAUCCCGAUGCUAUUUCUAGAGAUAGAAAGUUACUUCGGUACAUCGGUGACAGGUGGUGCAUGGUUGUCGUCAGCUCGUGUCGUGAGAUGUUGGGUUAAGUCCCGCAACGAGCGCAACCCCUAUUGUUAGUUGCCAUCAUUCAGUUGGGCACUCUAGCGAGACUGCCGGUAAUAAACCGGAGGAAGGUGGGGAUGACGUCAAAUCAUCAUGCCCCUUAUGACCUGGGCUACACACGUGCUACAAUGGUUGGUACAACGAGUUGCGAGUCGGUGACGGCAAGCUAAUCUCUUAAAGCCAAUCUCAGUUCGGAUUGUAGGCUGCAACUCGCCUACAUGAAGUCGGAAUCGCUAGUAAUCGCGGAUCAGCACGCCGCGGUGAAUACGUUCCCGGGCCUUGUACACACCGCCCGUC